UACGGGGGGGGCAAGCGUUGUUCGGAAUUACUGGGCGUAAAGGGCUCGUAGGCGGCCAACUAAGUCAGACGUGAAAUCCCUCGGCUUAACCGGGGAACUGCGUCUGAUACUGGAUGGCUUGAGGUUGGGAGAGGGAUGCGGAAUUCCAGGUGUAGCGGUGAAAUGCGUAGAUAUCUGGAGGAACACCGGUGGCGAAGGCGGCGACCUGGGUAGAUACUGACGCUGAGGCGCGAAAGCGUGGGGAGCAAACAGG
rnacentral:rRNA from 1 species